ensembl:lncRNA
CAAAUGUGAAAUAUAAAGGGACAGUUUGUCCACAACUAUCGCUUUAGGCAACAGUGUCAAAGUAGGCGCGGGAAAUCCGCGGACUUGGCAACACAGACGCGUCAGUGGCGUUUAAAGCGGAAGUAGUUGCGUAAACCGUAAAUUAAUUGAUCUGCAUACGUUAUGAUUUUAUUAGCUGGUGGGAUAUCGUUCAUCAAGCAACGAAAUGUGUUUAAACCGGAUGAUACAAUAAGCGCUUGUGUGGAGGAUGUAAUCACUGGGUUUGUCGGAGUUUUUCAGAGAUCAAGAUAAGGCACCGUCCUACACAAAAGUGCAUAUGGGUCGCAUGAAUAAUGGAUAUGUGGCUUGAACUCCCGCUGAACUCCCACAGCUUUGUCAAAUGGAGAUCUACAGCAAACCUGCACACCCAUUAAUACAUAUCCUUCAUUGUGCUGUUGUGGCCGUUCAUUCAUGCGUUCUGUGUGUCUGUCACAGCUCUGGGUGCGGCCGAUCGGCUGACACACUCAAACAAGGUACGCUUUGUUCAACCCCGUGGUGUUUGUGGUCGUGUACAUCUAAUGAGGUUAGAUAAACCCUCUACACUGACCUGAGACCUGGGAGAAAGGUGACUGGAGUUAAUGUGUAACACAGGUUUACGUGUGUAACACAGGUUUACGUGUUCUUUGACUUCGACCUGUGAAACCAGUUUUUGGUGAUUUAUAAUAUUUACAAAUAAAUAAUGUUUAAA